rnacentral:misc_RNA from 1 species
CCGAUUCGCGACGGUUCGCAGGCGCGGUGCUGCGGGGUUCCCCCCGCGGCCCGCGUCCUGCGGCCAUCGCAUCUACCCUCCACUGUACGAGCACCUUUUCGUUCUCCUUCGGCGGGGCAACCUGCCGCUGGAACCAACAACCAAACCUUUUAUUAACAGCAUUACCCGUUCCGAUACCAACAAUCAAUUA